GGAUAUAGCUUAGUGGUAGAGUGCAUGCUUAGCAUGCAUGAGGUCCUGGGUUCAAUACCCAGUACCUCCA
rnacentral:tRNA from 1 species